UACGUAGGGUGCAAGCGUUAAUCGGAAUUACUGGGCGUAAAGCGUGCGCAGGCGGUUAUGUAAGACAGGUGUGAAAUCCCCAGGCUUAACCUGGGAACUGCAUUUGUGACUGCAUAGCUAGAGUACGGCAGAGGGGGAUGGAAUUCCGCGUGUAGCAGUGAAAUGCGUAGAUAUGCGGAGGAACACCGAUGGCGAAGGCAAUCCCCUGGGCCUGUACUGACGCUCAUGCACGAAAGCGUGGGGAGCAAACAGG
rnacentral:rRNA from 1 species